GUGCAGCAGUCGCGAAUAGUCUACAAUGGACGAAAGUCUGAUAGUGCGACGCCGUGUGUGCGAUUAAUUCCUUCGGGAUGUAAAGCACUUUUUCUAUGAGGUAAAAGCUCUUUAGGUUAAUAGCUUAUUGAGACGGAUAUUAUUAUAGGAAUAAGCUCCGGCUAACUCCGUGCCAGCAGCCGCGGUAAUACGGAAGGAGCGAGCGUUGUCCGGAUUUUACUAGGCGUAAAGGGCUAGUAGGCGACUAAUUAAGUUAUAUGUUAAAUCCCGACGGCUCAACUGUGGUCCUGCAUGUAAUACUGGUUAGAGUACGAGUACUGGUAGAGGAAGGCAGAAUUCCUGGAGUA
rnacentral:rRNA from 1 species